GGGAGGUUCCCGGAGACCCAAAGGCACAUGCACCCUGGGAGUUUGUCCAAGACCACACCCUCCAGUGGAAACAGAGCUGCUGGGGCAGCCUCCAGAUUCCUGAGCCACUUGCUGGGAACCCAAUUUCCCUUCCCAGCUGCGGGCUCUGCUGAUUCAGGACAACCUUUACCAUGUGGUCUUUCCAGUGGGCAGAGGCCCUUUGAAAUCGUGCCUGCCCUGCUCUUAGCACCUAGAGCUUCGAGCUCAGCUAUGCCAGGAAUGCCCCCUGCGCCCGCCACCCAGGGAGUCGCAUUCCAGUGCAGUGGGAGCAGCCUGCUGGCUGGCAGCUGGGAGCCGGGCCCCUAAGGAAAGACCCUGGCCUUGAGCCAAGCACCCAGGCCCUACGGAGACUCCGUGCGACCUUGGCUCCAGCAAAUGGAACAGGAUUUUUUGGCAGUGAAGGUUAGACCUGCCCACAAUGCCCACAACCUUGGCUGAUAGGCACCCGGGUACAUUAGCCAAUUUAUUCCUCUCCGUGAGCUCUGGACCACCCCCGGGCUCCCAGGGGAGCACAGAGAAGGGGGAUGACCUGCCAAGAUCACACCCCAAGAAUAGACUUGGCAUCUGGCUCCUCCCUUGACAUCCAGGGCCUCCCAAAUCUCACCUCAGCCUCACCUUCACCGAGGGACUCAGAGGACCUAUCAAUCACCACUUAGUGAAUGUGUUUUUGGAAGCCAGACUCUUUGGAUUCGUUUUCUUGGCUCCCCUGCUUUCCAGCUGACCUUGGGCAACUUCCUCAACCCCUCAGUGUCAGAUUCCUCCUCUGCAGAGCGCGGCUCUUCUUUCUGCUGACCCAUAGAACCUUCCAGCUCACACUAAAUGCAGGGGCGGCAGCCAGCACAGGCAGCCCCACCGGCUCCCACACUGCUGAGGCCUCAGCCCCACGGUGACUCUCUCCUCCCAGACCACUCGUAAGGGCUCUGGGUCCCUGAUGGGACUCUCCCUGGGGCACGGGGAUUGGAGGUUGAUGUAGACAGUGACCAGCUCUCCUCCACCUAAACUUGACAGAUUUAGCAAAUAAAAAUACAGGCCAUUCUAUCAGACUUGAAUCCGCACCAACAAUGAACACCUUUUUUAGAGUAAGUACAUCUUAUGCAGUAUUUGGGACAUGCUUAUACUAAACACGUAUUUGUUAUUUAUCUGAAAUUUAAGUUCCACCGGGAAUAGGCAUCUGUACUGUAU